UCUUCCGUAUUAUUCUAUUCUGAUCACAUUAAUAGUUACGUUCUAUAUCGCAUCUUGGCUUAAUGUGCCUUCGCUAGAACGUAUAAAAUAUUAUUCCCGAAAGAUACGAUGAAUAUUCUAAGGAACAAAAUGAUUAAUUUAGCAACGCAAUCAAAUGAUAAAGAAUUAUUUAAGAAAGAUACAAUGAAUGGUCUUUAAAAAUUAAUAGAUUAUUUUAGCAACACGCACCAACUUCUCUGCUGUCACGUCAUCACACGUGGCCAAACUUUGUGAAAAAAAGUUUCUCCCGGCUGAGUUCGGGCAAAAAUCAUUAAAGAGAUCGCCUAGUUCCGUAGCUGGAAUGCUGAAAGUGGAAGACGGAGGCUACGAGGAAAGAUGCUGUGAUCUAUGAGAACUGGAGGAAAAAUGCGAAGAAACUCUUUUUCUAUGGAGGCAGUAUUACUAUCAAGGCGAGGAGCACCAUCACCAGCGGCCAACCGCUAUGUAGCAGCAGCGUUAAGAAUGGCUCGGCAGUGCUGCAGCAGCAGGCGAAAGCGCUCAGAAUACAUCCGGAAGCUGUUCCUGCGAACAUCCGCGGAUGGUCACGGAAGGUUUGUUUUUUUUUUAGAGCAAAAAUAAAAUGAAUGUAUGUAAUAUAAA